CGGCGCCCGUCGGCAGAGUGUUCCCGGGCCCCGCCGCGCUGUUGUUAUUUAUUUAACCAACGGGGAGCAACGAAACUCAGCCGGAGGGGUCGGGACGGCGGGGCAGGAGCUGCAGCUAGGGCGGAGGAAGGGCUCGGGCCCGAUGUGGCGGCGGCAGCAGCGCCGGGCGGGUAGAGGCCUCUGGCCGAGGCCUGCGGAGCAGCAGCACCGCCGAACGAAUUAAGCGCCCCUGUACCACCCGAGUCCCGCGGGCUCCGGCGCAGCGCCCCGCGCAGCGCCUCCGUCUGCCCCGGAGGGACUCAGUGUGGGCCGUGGGAAAGAGAACGGGGGCUCCAUUCCGGCGGUGGCGUUGGUUCAGGGGCUCACGGAGCGGGUUCGGUGCUGCUCGACCGCAUCACGGCGUUACCGCUGUGAGUACGGGCAGAAAUGUGAAUCGGCCCCGAAACAAAGCGAGAUGAGCCCUGCGGCUUCCUCGCUCUGAAAGGAGAAGGGGAAGUGUGAGUGAUAGAGUAUUGGUCACGUUUAAAAUCAACGCUGUGCAACAAAACGUACAGCCGGUGCCUGUCGCUGCGUUCAACUACCCAAAGUUUAUGUUUGUCACGCUGGAGAAAUGGUUGAAAUGACACCCGCAGCCCUGCCCCAGCGUGUCCCGGGAAACCCAGUGCAGAUUCCAGUGCAACCACCACGGCUCUGUGCAUUUUCUGUAUGCGUUUGUGUGUAUGUGCGUGUGUGCGAGAGCGCGGCUGUGAGAAAGAGAGUAAAUCCCCACAACAAUUGCUGUGGAUGGGCAAUAAACAAUUGCAAUUGGGCAUGGCACGAACUAUGUGCGUUGGAUUAACCUCGCUUGACCUCACCACAAUUGUAUUUAUUUAUCCAAUUCCGUAACAGGUUGCUACUGACCGAAAAGAAGUAGAAGUCAAUGGAUCAACUGCCUUCGGUUUUUAUUUAUUUAAUUUUUUUUAGAAUUGCCGUUGUUAAAAAAGAAAAAUCAUGACAAUUUGUAUUUAUUUCAUUGCACAACACUGAAGCCAAUAGAUGGGAACUCCUGAGGAAGAGGGCAGUGUGGAGGAUGUGACUGAGCUCUGCAGUGCUAGGGGUAAGAGGAAAGGUAAGCUCUAUGCAUACUGUUAUGGUUCUGAUGGGCAUUAACCAAUAUAUGUCAGUGCGGUACAGCAAGAUCCCAUCGGGGUGGCUGGGCCCUGUGCGUUUUCCUACUCGGUCUAGCAUGUAAUGAUUCGGUGUAACCGGAUUCUUGAGAAAGGACAGGUUACGUAAACAUUUACUGCUGUGGAGUAACUAUACUAUUUGUACUCUGAUAUGCAGGAAGGAAAGUGUUGAUUAACACAGAAGAAAAAAAAAAAAAAAGCGAAAUUAGCUGAUUGCAUGCUCAUAAGUGCAAGCUGUCAUUGAACUGCUUUUAAAAUAGACACAGCUGGGUGUUUGUGUUGAAAAAUUUCUUGUGUUUUUGCUAAUACUGAAAUAAGCAUGAUUUUGUAUACCAAACAUUUUCAGAUCAUUAAAAUUUCUAAUCUGUGCUGGUUUUAAACACAAAGAAAAGAAACGGAUUCAUUUCGCAGUAAAAUUUGCUGAUAUUAUAUUAACUCAAUCAGGUCUGUACAAACGGGGUAUUGUGCCUUAUCAAAUCCCUUUGAUCCAUUUAAUACACCAAGUGCCAAACGUGUGUAUUGUUUGUUAACAUUGAGCGUUUUAUUCAAAUCCCAGCUCUGCAGCAAACCGGAGGAGCUCUCGUUUAAUGUAACACUGACAUCGCCUGCUGAAAUUUUAAUGCUCUGAGGUGUUCCUUAGGUCAAAGCUGAGUCUGCUUAGCUCUGCAGUCAGGGAUGAGAAUGUAGCAGAGAAAGAAAGAAAACCUUCGUCCUUUUGCAUUUCUGAGCAAAGGUCCCAUACGGACAGCAAUGUGUUUUUACAGCGUUUGGUGAUCUGGGCUUAAUAUUCAGUCAUAUAUCAUGGCAGCAGAAUAAAGUACUGUGCAGAAAUUUAGGAUUUAAUGAUGUAUUUUUUUUAGCGCCAUGGAUAUACAGUUCUACCAAAAAAGGUAAUGUUGUGUUCAAUAUGUAGUGCAUAUUGUUCCAAGUCCGUGAGAUUAAUUCACUGUUCAUAGGACAGAAAAGGAUAUGUAGGAAAAGCACGUCAAUUAUUUAAUUAUUUAAUUAUUUCUACUGGACUUUCGAAUCUGAUUUUUCUUUUUCCUUUAAAAAAAAAAAAAAAUCUGAAAAUUCUCUAUGUAUAAAAGCGGGACUAUUGGCUUUGGACAGACAAAGUUCUGCUCUAACACCAGUUCUUCUGCUAGCUCUGACCUGGCCGCAGCCCCCAGCCACUUCAGCGGUAGCUUUGUGUAUGGUGGCCCUGAAUAAAUGACUGGUUUGACCCUCUCAGCUCCAUCUGCACUCGAAUUCCUGUGAGAGGGUCCAGAAAUUUAGCACUUUCUAGCAUGAAAAUUUUGGUGGAAAAUUUUGGCGAAACAGCUUGAACAGAGAAGGGAAUGCACGGCCCCAGCCCUGCAGGGCACCGCCAGUGCGAGGAGAGGCAGCUCUCUGCUCCCCACCCUCAGGGACCCGUGGCACUAUGGGGCCGAGAGAGUCCCGCUCCGGGGUGAGGGUGAGGACCCCCGGCUCAAAUGCCAUCCAAAGGAUUGCCGUGCUGUUUGAAUACAGAUUCUGGAUACAAUUUUUACUGAUAAUGUUUCACCGUAGAUUCUUCCCUGAGUGUUUUUUAAAAAUUAAAGGCCGAAGGAAAAGUGUACCACUGUCAGCUCGAUGGAUGCAGAUAUGCUGUGACCCCCACCCCCACUCCCCGCGGCUCCAGCCUCCAGUCCCCCUUCACACGAAUACAGCGGCUCUGCACUCCCAGGCUCUUCCAAGGGGUUAAGCUGCUAAAAUGUCCUGACAGCUUAAGGAAUGAAUGAGGGUUUUUUCAGCCAUGAAGAGAGAGUAUUUAAUAACCACGCUUCGAUGGCAUCAUGUGUCCACGAAACGAAUCGGGACACCUUAGAUUAACAGCCUCUAAUAUCACGUUGGGUACAGUAAAUGCCUGGAUGUGCGCAUUUAUAACUCUAUCCCCCGGAUUCUAAGCUUGUCUUACUUAUUCCAGGUUACCUGGGCAAUUAAGGUAAGAGCUGCUCAGCAGACAGCGAUAUCCCGCUGCUCGGGCAGGGCGAAUGGGGUCGGAACGCAGCGCUAACAAAGGCGAGAGGUGGUCAUACAGAUUGAAGAGGGGUGAAUGGGCUGGAGGUGGAGGAAUGAAUGGAGGCAAAGAGAGAGAGGAAGAAGUAUUCAGCGGUCCACCCUUACAUCCUCGUUUGUAUAUUUAAGUUUAGGUGUCUGUCUCUAACCGACUUUCAGUUAAUCCCUAACAGCUGGUCGUGGUGCUAACGUUUAGUGAUUAGAAGGUACUCUAUUUAGCAUGCUGUAUCCUUCUUGCCUGGGUUUUGGUUACAGGUUAUACGAUUAGCAUUGCGAGAACAGUAGUGAACUAAACUUCCCAGUGAGAGGUCUUCACACCAGGGAAGUGUUACUUUGCGGCAGCAGCCCUGCCUCGUCAGUCAUUAGGAAGCUGCAGGUUGUCAGAGCCUUCUCUUGCGCGCACACACGCGCACACACACACGCGCACACACACAAAACCACAGCACUAAAACUAAAUUAAGAAGCCGAUGAUUAAGACAAGCGUCUACGAGGCCUGUCAUUUCAGCAUCCUUCCAUCAUAACAUUAUGGCACCGAGAAAUUUGCUUUAAAACCCUGGAAAAAAAUGUCUAUGGGAGAGCCUUGUAUUUGAGAUAGCAUAAACGUUAUCAUCGAGUGUAGGCUGGGAACUGCCGCGGAUACAAGAUGGUAUUCCACUGAGGACACGGGUGCUGCAGGGACCUCUGGGCUGUCCGCGCACUCGGUUCGCUCAGUGGCCCAAUCUUCCUGUUUUUGCUGGCCUCCUCACUCAAGUCUGCCUUGAGUUCUUCCCUCUGGUGAUUUUGCAAGAAAUGACACAGGCUCUCCUCCCUUCUCUCGUCCUGACUGAACAUUUUGCCUCUGCAUUAGUCAUCGUGGUAGAGUGCAGAGCAAGUCCAGGAGAGAGAGAAGCGGGUCAUGAGGCUUCUCAUGUCAGAAACCUCUUCUUCUUCAUGAGGAAUCUGUUGCCAGAAAACCUAAACCUCAUGAUUACAAAGGAUUUCUCAACCCUUGCCCAAGACUUGUUUGGACUUGUUCAUCUGUGUCCCCAGCAAGCUAUGAGACAAUGAUGUAAAAGAAUAAUCUCUAACACCACCCUGUGACUUAGAGGUUGCUUUAAAAUGGAACACAGAUGAUCCAUGAUGGCAAGAAUCAUGACACUCAAUUCAGAGUGCCAUUAAUGUAUAAAGAGAAAUGUAAGAAGAUAUUGGUUGGCUUUGAAUGGGGUGUAAAAUGCAUCAGUAUUUCUCUUCAAAUUUGCUCCUGUACAAAAUGCUUUUCAGCAUUUAAAUAAUUUUGUAAGUUAUAUGACUUAAUACUAUAUUUUAUGUUUUUACUUUUUAUUAUACUUAAAAUGCUUGCAAAGACAAAAGCAAAGAACCAUAACUUGUUAGGGCCACAAACAUAUAGAUGAUUGUUCUGUUGUUAGAUAAGUGGCAUAAUAUGAUGUCUUAAAGAUAGAAAUAUAGGUUCCUAUUGCUUAUGCCAAGUUGAGGCCAUACAAAUUCUUGGGAUUAGCAUUCAAAUACACAGUCUGGCAGAAUUAACCCGAGUUUAUGAGGAGUGGUUUAUUACAAGUGAUGCACUUUUCCCUCUUCCACAUACCACAGCUAUGUUCUGUGAGAGUGGAUGCCUUAUUUUACAGGAUAACUCCAGACUGUGAAAUUUUACUUUCCUGAACAAACAGUAAUUGUUGAGAAAAUGGUUCUCGCUAAUUUUGACUUUGUAAUAAUUUUCAAGUACUUUUUUCAGCAUAAAUGAUCCAGAUAGUUUUAUUUCAAUUAACUUUAAUGGGAGGUGAGAUUUGGCAGAUUGCAGCAAGUUUUAAUGUUUAAAUAUUUGCUUAAAAUGCAUGGUAGUUGUUCAUGUCUGUGUUGAUCUGGCAAUACAUCCUAAGAAUGUUCCUCUCAUUUUUUCACUAUGUAAUGUGAAACAAAAUUCCUGCAUAAUUUUAAAAAUGACAUAGCUGUAUUUCUCUGCUAGUGAUGCAUCUAUCUUUUCUCCAAAAUGGCUACCCACUCUUAUGAGUACUUGAAAAUAUUUUUGGUUUAAGGUUAUUAUUCAGUAUUUCUAGGUCAUACUUUCCUAUAAUGAAAAGGGAGCGGAGGAUAUCUUGAGGCUGUUUCCAGAAAAAAUUGCUUUCAAACAGUAUCUACCAAAUGUUGAACAUGUGUUCUAAAUGUAAUUAGUAAGAAGGAGAGUAGAAGGAAAGUGACAUUUUUCUUUGAGUGUGAAUUACUUAUAGACAUUCUGUUUUGGAAUCCCAGUGUCCUGUGAUCUUUCUUUCUUUCUUUUUCUUUUUUUUCAUUACCUUACAGCUAUUCAUUAGCUUAUGUGCCAAUAUUUGUUACAAUUUAGUCUGUGGGACAGUGGUUUGUUAAUAUUUUAGCAACAACACAGCAAUGUAAUUAUCUGUAAAUCUUUUAGCAUGUAUUUCAUUCUUGUGGAAGCUAUCCAAUCAGUCAAAGAAAAAAGCCUAAGCAUUUCAUAUCAAACUUUGAGCCUUCUGCAAUACACUCUUUUUUAUCUCAACUUUCUUGAUUUAUUAGGUAUAUUCUUU